GAGUGUCGCGGGUAGAUUUUCACUCCAGCAGAGUAGGAGCUAAGUCAGAGUGUAGAAGCUUUGGGGUAAGGUUUCCUUCAAAAUAGAGAUUGGGGCACUUGGCUUUCGAUGUGGGGUGCCUGUGGCUGGAGCUGCCAUCUUUGUCCGAGAGAUGCGAAUCCUUUCCUUCUCUGCCUCCGGGUCAGCAAGAAUUCCAUCCCAACGCAGACUUUCGUUGAUCCGAUUCGCAAGGUUCUCUAUUUCGGCAAAGUCGGGGAGGCUGACGGUGGAGGAGUCAGAAGGGAGGUGCUUAUUUUCCACUUUGCUCUGUCUGUGCUCUGGUUUCGGGCCACGGUCUUUGCACGGACUUAAGAUGUCAUGAAAGGAGGAAGAAAGCGGCUGGCUCUUCAGGCUCUGACUCUGAUGUUUAUCUGCUGAGUAGAUGAGCAGGUUAGUGUUUGUGGCAAUGUCUGCCCUUGGCCUGCUGGGGAUGGUGCCAAAAUCACCCAAGACGGAAGAGGAGGAUGGGGUCCCCUCCGUACCCAGAGCUCAGGCUGCCAAG
rnacentral:lncRNA from 1 species